rnacentral:rRNA from 1 species
AUUGAACGCUGGCGGCAGGCCUAACACAUGCAAGUCGAGCGGAUGAAGGGAGCUUGCUCCUGGAUUCAGCGGCGGACGGGUGAGUAAUGCCUAGGAAUCUGCCUGGUAGUGGGGGAUAACAUCCGGAAACGGGCGCUAAUACCGCAUACGUCCUGAGGGAGAAAGUGGGGGAUCUUCGGACCUCACGCUAUCAGAUGAGCCUAGGUCGGAUUAGCUAGUUGGUGGGGUGAAGGCCUACCAAGGCGACGAUCCGUAACUGGUCUGAGAGGAUGAUCAGUCACACUGGAACUGAGACACGGUCCAGACUCCUACGGGAGGCAGCAGUGGGGAAUAUUGGACAAUGGGCGAAAGCCUGAUCCAGCCAUGCCGCGUGUGUGAAGAAGGUCUUCGGAUUGUAAAGCACUUUAAGUUGGGAGGAAGGGCAGUAAGUUAAUACCUUGCUGUUUUGACGUUACCAACAGAAUAAGCACCGGCUAACUUCGUG